GUUAUUCUCUACCACUUUUUUAUAAAUUGGAAUGAUACAGAGAAAAUAACAUGAUUCCUGCACAAUGACAGCAGGCAAAAUCAAAAUGUUCCAUAUAUAUAU